rnacentral:rRNA from 1 species
GGUUAUUAUAUGUUACUAAUAACAAAUAAAUAUAACAACACUAGGAACGUUCUUGAGGCUAAGCUCAAGAACGACCAAGAGAGGCCGAGCACUUAAUAAAAAUAGCUGUGUAAGCUUAGAAUCAGCUAUCACAAAAGUUAGUUAUAAAAUAGCCCCGCAGCACACACAAAAUCAAUAUGCUUUAACACCAUCCCCGUUAUAUGAAGACAAAACCCUAAAUCGCUACCGCGCCUAUGCCUAUGCUAGGAUGAGUAUUAUUACAAAGCUAUACCACGGAAUAACAAUUAAUUUUUUCCGAAUCAAAACAACUUAAACAAACUAAGUAAAUAAAAGGAACUCGGCAAACAUUUGCCCCGCCUGUUUAUCAAAAACAUGGCUCCUCGCGCCACCGAAAAUGAGGAGUCCAACCUGCCCAGUGUAAUAUUAACGGCCGCGGUACUCUGACCGUGCAAAGGUAGCAUAAUCAUUUGCCUUAUAAUUGAAGGCUAGUAUGAAUGGUCUCACGUGGGCAAUACUGUCUCUUUUUUAUUUUCUAAAAAUUAACCUCUAGGUGAAGAGGCCUAAAUCUUAUUAAAGGACAAGAAGACCCUGUCGAGCUUAAAAGACAUUAGUAGAAGUAAAUAUCAUAGAAAUAAAUAUUCUUCACAGCUUUUUAGUUGGGGCGACUAAGGAACAAAAAAAGCUUCUUUCAAUACCAACAGCCCACCGGCCUAGAUCCAGUAAACACUGAUCAGGGAAAUUAGCUACCGCAGGGAUAACAGCAUAAUCCCUCUUGAGAGACCAUAUCGAAAGCGGGGGUUGUGACCUCGAUGUUGGACUAGAAUAUCCGAGUGAUGCAGACGUCA